rnacentral:rRNA from 1 species
UACGAAGGGGGCUAGCGUUGCUCGGAAUCACUGGGCGUAAAGCGCACGUAGGCCGAUUGUUAAGUCAGGGGUGAAAUCCUAGAGCUCAACUCCAGAACUGCCCUUGAUACUGGCGGUCUCGAGUCCGGGAGAGGUGAGUGGAACUGCGAGUGUAGAGGUGAAAUUCGUAGAUAUUCGCAAGAACACCAGUGGCGAAGGCGGCUCACUGGCCCGGUACUGACGCUGAGGUGCGAAAGCGUGGGGAGCAAACAGG